CAAUGGUCCAAACUCCUUGUUAAGUAACAGCCCUAAUUGAUGACAGGGAUGGUGCAGUGGCUUGGAAGCCAGCUCAGAUUGUGUUUUUAAAAUUUUCCUUUCUCCCGGGCUGCCUGCCAGAGCUCCAUGGCACGGUUCUUGAGGAGAACAAAGGAGGCUUUGAAAAUCUUUCUCCCCCUCCUUCAAAUGCUUAUCUGAAAGGACAUCUUUUUCCCCUUAGUCGCUGCAAUCAUAAAAGCACAGGUGAUAAACUGCUUCUUUGUAAUCAUCAAUUGUGAAGGUUUCCUCCCCCCAAAAGCAGGAAUCUUGGCGGCAGCAAGGUAGAGAGGACCAUCUUGGCGCCCACACUGAUGUCUAUCGAGCCUCCAGAAAGGAAAGGGAGGGGGAAAUGAACUUUGUUCAGUGACAACUUUUAUCUCCGGGUCUCGGGCUGCUGAAAUGUCAAGCCGGGGCUAGAUGGGCUCUCCUGACAGCGUUGCUGCACGGAGGCUGCCUCCCAGCCCCAGGGGAUGCAGGGCUGCGGUGGGUGGUGGUGGUGGUGGGGGGUGUUGACUAUAAGUCAACCGAAUACAUCUUGAAUUCUCGAAGCUGGAGUUCGGGACUUGUUGCGUCUCUUCUGGAGAGGAAGGCUGCAGAGUGGAGCCAUCGGAUCUCCUGCUUGCAAUGACCUUGAGAAACUGUCCCCGAAAGGACAGUGCCUAAGCCCAUUUGAGGGGAGAAUCUGUCUGGUUUUUCAACUCCCCAGAAAAUACUAUGGUGGUGAUAUCACAACCUGGUGGAACCUACAGUGGCCUGGGUCCCUGAAUGAUGGUAUGGAGCAGAGUCCCAGGCCCUACAGCAUUGAGUAUGGAGAUGAAUGAGAAAUAAAUUGGUUGUUUUAAGUGACUGAGAUUUUGGAAUUCAUGGUAGUUGCAACACAGUCUAAUUGAUCUCGAUGAGUGUUGCCAAAAUCAAAGGAGUGGAUGAGUUCUUUAAAUUUUAGCAGAAGGCCAAAGUUAGCAAACUAGGAAUUGGAGCCUGGAUGGGUCACUGGAUCUUUGUACAUGUGGCUGGAUCCAAGAAAAGGCCAAUUACAAAUGCUCAUACAUAGAACUAGGGAUGGGUGAGGCAAGAACAGCGCCAGUAAUGUCAGGGUAGGGGCGUCUGGGUGGCUCAGUGAGUUAAGCAUCUGCCUUGGGCUCAAGUCCUGAUCUUGGGGUCCUAGAAUUGAGCCCUACAUUGGACUCCCUGAUCAGUGGGGAGUCUGCUUCUUCCUCUCCUUCUGCUCCUCCCCCCAGCCCUUUCUCUCUCUCUCAAAUCAAUAAAUAAAAUCUUUUUAAAAAAUAGUGCAGGUUCAGUUGAUGGGACCUGAGAAUGUACCUGGGGCAGAUGCCAGUGCCACUUCUCACAUUUUGCUGCAAUACAAGUUAUAGAGGGCAGAUAGAUCUUUUUUUUUUUAAUUUUCUCAAAGAUUUUAUUUAUUCAUGAGAGACACACACACACACAGAGGCACAGACACAGGCAGAGGGAGAAGCAGGCUCCAUGCAGGGAGCCCAACGUGGGACUCGAUCCUGGGUCUCCAUAAUCACACCCUGGGCUGAAGGCAGUGCUAAACCGCUGAGCCACCUGGGCUGCCCUAGGGCAGAUCUUUGAACCAGAGAUCAAUUCCAGAACCUUCCCCAGACCUCAUGGACUGAAUUGUGUCCUCUCCUUUCCCCAAAUUCAUAUGUUGAAGUCCUAACCCCCAAUGUGACUGUAUUUGGAGAUAGGACCUUUAGGGAAUUAAUGUUAAAUGACAUCAUAAGGGUGGAGCCCUAAUCCAGUAAGACAGAUGUCCUUAGAAGAAGGGGAAGAGAGAUCAGAAAUCUCUUUCUGGGUGCAUACAGAGAAAAGCUGUGUGAGGAUGCAGUGAGAAGGGCAGCCAUCUGAAAGCCAGGAAGAGAGAUCUCCCCAGAAACCAACGCUUGUGGCACCUUGAUCUUGGGCUUCCAGCAUCCAGAAUGGUAAGAAAACAAAUUUCUGUUUCUUAACCACCCAGGCUGUGGUAUUUUGUAAGGUGGCCUGAGCUAUUACAGACCUGGACCUAGGACUUGUUACCUGAUGCCUUCUUCUCCGGGGGUUUCCUGGGGGGGAACUUUCUGUUUAGAGUCAGAUAUUUUGAGGUGGAGAGGAAAGAGAGGAGAGGGGAAUGAUGCAUGUAUGAACACCUCCUUGCCCUUCUAACAACAUGCUUUUUUCCAUGUAUUAUACUGGACUUCAAUUGUAGCCCUGGAAAAUAGGGAUAAUUAUCCUAGGUUUACUGAUUUUAUUCAUUUGCUCAGCAACAAUUUCGAAGCAUCUACUAUGUGUUGGGGUAUGAUGCUGAGUUUGGGGGUGCAGAGUUGAAGAGGCAACAGCUCCUGCUUUCAAGUGGCUGCAUGAAUUGAGGCCUCCAGGAUAAGCUCCAAGUUCAGUGAGAAGAGGCUAGUGAGGACUCGGUCCUGGAUUUUAGCUUUGUACCUGGGCUCUUGGAAAAGAGAAGCAAAGCAGAGAAUUCUCUGUAAGAGAUGCUGGUGGAGCCUUGCAUCCCAGGAAAGCCUGUCUCUUCUUUGUCCCCAGGAAGCUGAGGGUCAGCAUCACGCUUAGGCAGCUUGUCCAGUUAUAGGUGACCUGCAUCCCAGCCAGUCCCCACCUUCUUCGUUGCUGGCAGAACCUUUACUUUGUCUAGAUCUCUUGCACCCACGCACUUCAGGGAAAGCUGGCUUCUCCCAGUCCCGAGGGUGAAUCCUGUAGGCAGCCAGGCAAUCAACACACUUGAUCUAUUCUUCUUGCAAUUCUAACUAGUGAAAUAUGAUAGAGCCUGCAGGGAUUCUUGGAUUUCUCACCCUAAAAUGAACACAAAAGGGGGACAUUCUGGUUUUCUUGAGAGGUAUUACUGUGUGAGUGCAUGAUGCUGGGAGCUGCUGCAGCCACUUUAUGACCAUGAGGAGACAGGCCAAAGAACAAUUGCUAACAGUCUAAGCACGGCGGAGCAGAGGGAGGGAAAGAACUGGUUCUUAAUCUUGAUCAACUGAAAUAACGGGGCUUCUUGUUAGAUCAGAUAAUAAAAAUCAUCUCACUGUUUAAGCUCUCUUGGGUUGGGCAUCCUAUUACUUGCAGCCAACAGCUGCCCAACAUAUAUAGG
rnacentral:lncRNA from 1 species